rnacentral:rRNA from 1 species
CGCUAGUAAUCGCGGAUCAGAAUGCCGCGGUGAAUACGUUCCCGGGUCUUGUACACACCGCCCGUCACACCAUGGGAGUCGGAAAUGCCCGAAGUCUGUGACCCAACCAUUAAGGAGGGAGCAGCCGAAGGCAGGUCGGAUGACUGGGGUGAAGUCGUAACAAGGUAGC